rnacentral:rRNA from 1 species
AUUGAACGCUGGCGGCAGGCCUAACACAUGCAAGUCGAACGGUAGCACAGAGAGCUUGCUCUCGGGUGACGAGUGGCGGACGGGUGAGUAAUGUCUGGGAAACUGCCCGAUGGAGGGGGAUAACUACUGGAAACGGUAGCUAAUACCGCAUAACGUCGCAAGACCAAAGAGGGGGACCUUCGGGCCUCUUGCCAUCGGAUGUGCCCAGAUGGGAUUAGCUUGUAGGUGAGGUAACGGCUCACCUAGGCGACGAUCCCUAGCUGGUCUGAGAGGAUGACCAGCCACACUGGAACUGAGACACGGUCCAGACUCCUACGGGAGGCAGCAGUGGGGAAUAUUGCACAAUGGGCGCAAGCCUGAUGCAGCCAUGCCGCGUGUAUGAAGAAGGCCUUCGGGUUGUAAAGUACUUUCAGCGGGGAGGAAGGGAGUGAGGUUAAUAACCUCAUUCAUUGACGUUACCCGCAGAAGAAGCACCGGCUAACUCCGUGCCAGCAGCCGCGGUAAUACGGAGGGUGCGAGCGUUAAUCGGAAUUACUGGGCGUAAAGCGCACGCAGGCGGUCUGUCAAGUCGGAUGUGAAAUCCCCGGGCUCAACCUGGGAACUGCAUUCGAAACUGGCAGGCUGGAGUCUUGUAGAGGGGGGUAGAAUUCCAGGUGUAGCGGUGAAAUGCGUAGAGAUCUGGAGGAAUACCGGUGGCGAAGGCGGCCCCCUGGACAAAGACUGACGCUCAGGUGCGAAAGCGUGGGGAGCAAACGGGAUUAGAUACCCUGGUAGUCCACGCUGUAAACGAUGUCGACUUGGAGGUUGUUCCCUUGAGGAGUGGCUUCCGGAGCUAACGCGUUAAGUCGACCGCCUGGGGAGUACGGCCGCAAGGUUAAAACUCAAAUGAAUUGACGGGGGCCCGCACAAGCGGUGGAGCAUGUGGUUUAAUUCGAUGCAACGCGAAGAACCUUACCUACUCUUGACAUCCAGAGAACUUAGCAGAGAUGCUUUGGUGCCUUCGGGAACUCUGAGACAGGUGCUGCAUGGCUGUCGUCAGCUCGUGUUGUGAAAUGUUGGGUUAAGUCCCGCAACGAGCGCAACCCUUAUCCUUUGUUGCCAGCGAUUCGGUCGGGAACUCAAAGGAGACUGCCAGUGAUAAACUGGGGGAAGGUGGGGAUGACGUCAAGUCAUCAUGGCCCUUACGAGUAGGGCUACACACGUGCUACAAUGGCAUAUACAAAGAGAAGCGACCUCGCGAGAGCAAGCGGACCUCAUAAAGUAUGUCGUAGUCCGGAUUGGAGUCUGCAACUCGACUCCAUGAAGUCGGAAUCGCUAGUAAUCGUGGAUCAGAAUGCCACGGUGAAUACGUUCCCGGGCCU